AUGUAUAUGCCUACAACAUAGAGUUAAUGCGACCGAUCCCAUUAGAACUACGCAGUUAAGCUUGCUUGGGCUACAGUAGUAUUGGGAUGGGUAAUCGCCUGGGAAGUCCUGUAUUUUACAUG
rnacentral:rRNA from 1 species